UUUCCUUUAGCUUAAGAUUAAAGCGUUAGUUUGAAGCACUGAAGUUAACAAUUUGUUAGGGGAAA
rnacentral:tRNA from 2 species